rnacentral:rRNA from 1 species
UGCCGCGUGAGUGAAGAAGGCCCUUGGGUUGUAAAGCUCUUUCGUCGGGGAAGAAAAUGACUGUACCCGAAUAAGAAGGUCCGGCUAACUUCGUGCCAGCAGCCGCGGUAAUACGAAGGGACCUAGCGUAGUUCGGAAUUACUGGGCUUAAAGAGUUCGUAGGUGGUUGAAAAAGUUAGUGGUGAAAUCCCAGAGCUUAACUCUGGAACUGCCAUUAAAACUUUUCAGCUAGAGUAUGAUAGAGGAAAGCAGAAUUUCUAGUGUAGAGGUGAAAUUCGUAGAUAUUAGAAAGAAUACCAAUUGCGAAGGCAGCUUUCUGGAUCAUUACUGACACUGAGGAACGAAAGCAUGGGUAGCGAAGAGGAUUAGAUACCCUCGUAGUCCAUGCCGUAAACGAUGUGUGUUAGACGUUGGAAAUUUAUUUUCAGUGUCGCAGCGAAAGCGAUAAACACACCGCCUGGGGAGUACGACCGCAAGGUUAAAACUCAAAUGAAUUGACGGGGACCCGCACAAGUAGUGGAGCAUGUGGUUUAAUUCGAAGAUACGCGCAGGACCUUACCAACACUUGACAUGUUCGUCGCGACUCUAAGAGAUUAGAGUUUUCGGUUCGGCCGGACGAAACACAGGUGCUGCAUGGCUGUCGUCAGCUCGUGUCGUGAGAUGUUGGGUUAAGUCCCGCAACGAGCGCAACCCUCACUUUUAGUUGCCAUCAUUAAGUUGGGCACUCUGAAAGAACUGCCAGUGAUAAGCUGGAGGAAGGUGGGGAUGACGUCAAGUCCUCAUGGCCCUUACGUGUUGGGCUACACACGUGCUACAAUGGUAUCUACAACAGGAAGCAAGACUGCGA